CUGUACUUUACCGCUUCAGCGUGACUUCUCUCUUCAACAAGUUAACCAACACACACUGAUGCUGAUCGGAAUCCUUUAUAUACUGCUCGAUGUGGGUCGACCGCAGCUGAAACCAAAAUUAUUUCCAGGUGUAACAAUUAUCAAUCACAGUCGCAAUCAACUGUUAACUAUUUUCAUGAGUCACUAUUGUUUCAGCAUGGAUUCGCCCACUAUCUCCUAUAUAGUGAACAAUUUCGGACAAUGACGUAAUAUAUCCUGAAAAAUGCUGGGUUAUUUGUUUAACCCAACAGCUGGGUUGAGCCUGUUGGGUCAUUUUGUUCGGUUAUUUUCUUAGUGUUGGGUCAUUUUUUGAGUAACCCAAACGCUGGGUUACCAGUCUGGUCCAAUUGAGUGACAGUUGAGAGAGUAAACCCCUCCCACUCCUCUACGCAUCAGACAAACUUUACCUUCGCGGGCAUUUUGAUCCACUUCAUCUCGGAAAGCUGUUAUUCGGAGAAUAAAAGUUGCAGAAUAACAGCUAAUAUUAAUGGAUCAUUCUAUUCAAGAAAAUGUCAACUGGAACUUGGAUGUUUUCAUAACAGGCUUAAAGAUGUACAAAUUGAUAAAGAAACCCUCCUGCUGGACAUCCACUUCCAAAAGUGCACACCACACUGUUGUCUACAACUCCCAGGAAAAGAAUCCUCUUCAGUAAGACUGCUCCGUGGAUAUUUUAGGUUAAGCAGUGCUGAAACCGAAAGAACUAACACUAUUUAAAAUGUUUUGUGAGUUUAUAUGAAGAGGAAAGUUACGGUGUCCCUUUUUCACAUCCAUAACGCUUGUUUAUUUCUUUUUUUAUAGAAAACUUGUGCAUAGACUUAUAUUUUAUCAUAUAAAUGCGGUUCUAUUAACAAGGGUUUAGUAAAAUACUUUUUAAAGUGUUUUGAAGUGUUAAGUUGUCUAACUGUUUAUAUUUA